GAUGAAGAACUCAGCGAAAUGCGAUACGUAAUGUGAAUUGCAGAAUUCAGUGAAUCAUCGAGUCUUUGAACGCACAUUGCGCCCCCUGGUAUUCCGGGGGGCAUGCCUGUCCGAGCGUCAUUGCUGCCCUCAAGCACGGCUUGUGUGUUGGGCCUCCGCCCCCCGGCUCCCGGGGGGCGGGCCCGAAAGGCAGCGGCGGCACCGCGUCCGGUCCUCGAGCGUAUGGGGCUUCGUCACCCGCUCCGUAGGCCCGGCCGGCGCCCGCCGGCGACCCCCCUCAAUCUUUCCAGGUUGACCUCGGAUCAGGUAGGGAUACCCGCUGAACUUAAGCAUAUCAAUAAGCGGAGGA
rnacentral:misc_RNA from 1 species